AGUGAACGCUGGCGGUAGGCCUAACACAUGCAAGUCGAACGGCAGCACAGUAAGAGCUUGCUCUUACGGGUGGCGAGUGGCGGACGGGUGAGGAAUACAUCGGAAUCUACUUUUUCGUGGGGGAUAACGUAGGGAAACUUACGCUAAUACCGCAUACGACCUACGGGUGAAAGCAGGGGAUCUUCGGACCUUGCGCGAUUGAAUGAGCCGAUGUCGGAUUAGCUAGUUGGCGGGGUAAGGGCCCACCAAGGCGACGAUCCGUAGCUGGUCUGAGAGGAUGAUCAGCCACACUGGAACUGAGACACGGUCCAGACUCCUACAGGAGGCAGCAGUGGGGAAUAUUGGACAAUGGGCGCAAGCCUGAUCCAGCCAUACCGCGUGGGUGAAGAAGGCCUUCGGGUUGUAAAGCCCUUUUGUUGGGAAAGAAAAGCAGCAGGUUAAUACCCCGCUGUUCUGACGGUACCCAAAGAAUAAGCACCGGCUAACUUCGUG
rnacentral:rRNA from 1 species